AAACGAUGAGUGCUAAGUGUUAGAGGGUUUCCGCCCCUUUAGUGCUGCAGCAAACGCAUUAAGCACUCCGCCUGGGGAGUACGGCCGCAAGGCUGAAACUCAAAGGAAUUGACGGGGGCCCGCACAAGCGGUGGAGCAUGUGGUUUAAUUCGAAGCAACGCGAAGAACCUUACCAGGUCUUGACAUCCUCUGGACACUCCUAGAGAUAGGAUCCCCUUCGGGGGCAGAGUACAGGUGGUGCAUGGUUGUCGUCAGCUCGUGUCGUGAGAUGUUGGGUUAAGUCCCGCAACGAGCGCAACCCUUGAUCUUAGUUGCCAGCAUUAGUUGGGCACUCUAAGGUGACUGCCGGUGACAAACCGGAGGAAGGUGGGGAUGACGUCAAAUCAUCAUGCCCCUUAUGACCUGGGCUACACACGUGCUACAAUGGGUGGUACAAAGGCCCGCAAACCCGCGAGGUCGAGCCAAUCCCAUAAAACCACUCUCAGUUCGGAUUGUAGGCUGCAACUCGCCUACAUGAAGCUGGAAUCGCUAGUAAUCGCGGAUCAGCAUUGCCGCGGUGAAUACGUUCCCGGGCCUUGUACACACCGCCCGUCACACCACGAGAGUUUGUAACACCCGAAGUCGGUGGGGUAACCGUA
rnacentral:rRNA from 1 species